rnacentral:tRNA from 1 species
UGCGGGGUAGAGCAGAGGCAGCUCGUCGGGCUCAUAACCCGGAGGUCCCUGGUUCGAAUCCAGGCCCCGCUA